GACGUAGGAUGCAAGCGUUGUCCGGAUUUAUUGGGCGUAAAGAGUUCGUAGGCGGUUCGUUAAGUUCGAUGUUAAAGACCGGGGCCCAACCCCGGGACUGCAUUGAAUACUGGCGGACUCGAGUGCAGUAGAGGCAAGAGGAAUUCCCAGUGUAGCGGUGAAAUGCGUAGAUAUCAGGAAGAACACCGAUGGCGAAGGCAGGUCUCUGGGCCACUACUGACGCUGAGAAGCGAAAGCAUGGGGAGCGAACAGG
rnacentral:rRNA from 1 species